rnacentral:lncRNA from 1 species
AGAUGUGCAGCUGAUGACUGGAACCACACAGCUAAGGACAGCUGGGACACAUCCAAAUGUGGCUGCAGGAAGAUUCCUUGUGAGGAGAAAGCUGCACUGCGUGAUGCUCUGAAGGAGAGUUCAGCACAGAAGCCCUCUGGUGAAAAUGACAGACCUGAAAGGAAGCCACAGAAAGAGCAGAUUUUGCAAGAGGUUCCUCAGUUGAAGAAGAAACUUGAGGUCCAUAUCAGGAAGCUCCGAGAGCUGGCUGACAAACUUGACCUGGUGCACAAGUGCUGCACCAUCUCCAAUGUGGUGUCCCUCACUCUUAGUGUUGCUUCAGGAGUCCUCGAGCUCCUUGAUUUUGUUCUGUCACAGAUCUAUGGAAUGCCCAGUCGAGCACUCUCAGCAACCUCUGAGGGUCUGGGAAUGGCAUCAGAUAUGAUUAAUAUUACUACCACCAUUGUGGGAGAAAGUUUCAGACAGUCAUAUGAAUCUGAAGCCAGACGCCUGGUUGGAGCCAGCAUAAAUAUACUUUACGAGAUUAUAAAUAUCACUCCUAUGAUCACAGUCAAGCUUUAUACAGUUAAGGAUUUAGUUGAAGCCUUCAAAACCCUCACGGGUCAGAUCCGAGCCAUCAGGGCAGCCAUAUCCAACUCUGACCUUGGAGCACAGGCCAGGAAC